UACUUCCUUUCCAAUCCAGCAAGCAAGACGAAGAGCGAAGAUUUGAAUUGGAAAUCGAACUAUUUUACUGCAAAGAACACCAUCGACGUCCAUAAAGAUUCAGAAAUUGGAGACAGUGGAGGAACUACUCAAACUUGACGAGUUGAUAAAAACUCAACCAAGCAAGAAAGAUUUGCUGACAGCCAGGCUCUCAAAGAUUGGUGGAUAUGACUUAAAGAGCUGUUUAAGCAGCAUCAUGGACAGGCUCAUGACAAAUGAAUUAAUGUCCAAUCUGAACAUGAAGGGGAGGGGGGAAAAACUGCCUUUGCCGAGACGAAGCUGCUCGAUGUAGU